UUAAGUUAGAAAGGGCGCACGGUGGAUGCCUUGACACUAGGAGUCGAUGAAGGACGGGACUAACGCCGAUAUGCUUCGGGGAGCUGUAAGUAAGCUUUGAUCCGAAGAUUUCCGAAUGGGGAAACCCACCAUACGUAAUGGUAUGGUAUCCUUAUCUGAAUACAUAGGGUAAGGAAGACAGACCCAGGGAACUGAAACAUCUAAGUACCUGGAGGAAGAGAAAGCAAAUGCGAUUUCCUGAGUAGCGGCGAGCGAAACGGAACAUAGCCCAAACCAAGAGGCUUGCCUCUUGGGGUUGUAGGACAUUCUAUACGGAGUUACAAAGGAACGAGGUAGACGAAGCGACCUGGAAAGGUCCGUCGUAGAGGGUAACAACCCCGUAGUCGAAACUUCGUUCUCUCUUGAAUGUAUCCUGAGUACGGCGGAACACGUGAAAUUCCGUCGGAAUCUGGGAGGACCAUCUCCCAAGGCUAAAUACUCCCUAGUGAUCGAUAGUGAACCAGUACCGUGAGGGAAAGGUGAAAAGCACCCCGGAAGGGGAGUGAAAGAGAUCCUGAAACCGUGUGCCUACAAAUAGUCAGAGCCCGUUAANGGGUGAUGGCGUGCCUUUUGUAGAAUGAACCGGCGAGUUACGAUCCCGUGCGAGGUUAAGCUGAAGAGGCGGAGCCGCAGCGAAAGCGAGUCUGAAUAGGGCGUUUAGUACGUGGUCGUAGACCCGAAACCAGGUGAUCUACCCAUGUCCAGGGUGAAGUUCAGGUAACACUGAAUGGAGGCCCGAACCCACGCACGUUGAAAAGUGCGGGGAUGAGGUGUGGGUAGCGGAGAAAUUCCAAUCGAACCUGGAGAUAGCUGGUUCUCCCCGAAAUAGCUUUAGGGCUAGCCUUAAGUGUAAGAGUCUUGGAGGUAGAGCACUGAUUGGACUAGGGGUCCUCAUCGGAUUACCGAAUUCAGUCAAACUCCGAAUGCCAAUGACUUAUCCUUAGGAGUCAGACUGCGAGUGAUAAGAUCCGUAGUCAAAAGGGAAACAGCCCAGACCGCCAGCUAAGGUCCCAAAGUGUGUAUUAAGUGGAAAAGGAUGUGGAGUUGCUUAGACAACUAGGAUGUUGGCUUAGAAGCAGCCACCAUUUAAAGAGUGCGUAAUAGCUCACUAGUCGAGUGACUCUGCGCCGAAAAUGUACCGGGGCUAAAUACACCACCGAAGCUGCGGAUUGAUACCAAUGGUAUCAGUGGUAGGGGAGCGUUCUAAGGACAGUGAAGUCAGACCGGAAGGACUGGUGGAGUGCUUAGAAGUGAGAAUGCCGGUAUGAGUAGCGAAAGACGGGUGAGAAUCCCGUCCACCGAAUGCCUAAGGUUUCCUGAGGAAGGCUCGUCCGCUCAGGGUUAGUCAGGACCUAAGCCGAGGCCGACAGGCGUAGGCGAUGGACAACAGGUUGAUAUUCCUGUACCACCUCUUUAUCGUUUGAGCAAUGGAGGGACGCAGAAGGAUAGAAGAAGCGUGCGAUUGGUUGUGCACGUCCAAGCAGUUAGGCUGAUAAGUAGGCAAAUCCGCUUAUCGUAAAGGCUGAGCUGUGAUGGGGAAGCUCCUUAUGGAGCGAAGUCUUUGAUUCCCCGCUGCCAAGAAAAGCUUCUAGCGAGAUAAAAGGUGCCUGUACCGCAAACCGACACAGGUAGGCGAGGAGAGAAUCCUAAGGUGUGCGAGAGAACUCUGGUUAAGGAACUCGGCAAAAUGACCCCGUAACUUCGGGAGAAGGGGUGCUUUCUUAACGGAAAGCCGCAGUGAAUAGGCCCAAGCGACUGUUUAGCAAAAACACAGCUCUCUGCGAAGCCGUAAGGCGAAGUAUAGGGGGUGACACCUGCCCGGUGCUGGAAGGUUAAGGAGAGGGGUUAGCGUAAGCGAAGCUCUGAACUGAAGCCCCAGUAAACGGCGGCCGUAACUAUAACGGUCCUAAGGUAGCGAAAUUCCUUGUCGGGUAAGUUCCGACCCGCACGAAAGGUGUAACGAUUUGGGCACUGUCUCAACCAGAGACUCGGUGAAAUUAUAGUACCUGUGAAGAUGCAGGUUACCCGCGACAGGACGGAAAGACCCCGUGGAGCUUUACUGUAGCCUGAUAUUGAAUUUUGGUACAGUUUGUACAGGAUAGGCGGGAGCCAUUGAAACCGGAGCGCUAGCUUCGGUGGAGGCGCUGGUGGGAUACCGCCCUGACUGUAUUGAAAUUCUAACCUACGGGUCUUAUCGACCCGGGAGACAGUGUCAGGUGGGCAGUUUGACUGGGGCGGUCGCCUCCUAAAGUGUAACGGAGGCGCCCAAAGGUUCCCUCAGAAUGGUUGGAAAUCAUUCGUAGAGUGCAAAGGCAUAAGGGAGCUUGACUGCGAGACCUACAAGUCGAGCAGGGACGAAAGUCGGGCUUAGUGAUCCGGUGGUUCCGCAUGGAAGGGCCAUCGCUCAACGGAUAAAAGCUACCCCGGGGAUAACAGGCUUAUCUCCCCCAAGAGUCCACAUCGACGGGGAGGUUUGGCACCUCGAUGUCGGCUCAUCGCAUCCUGGGGCUGUAGUCGGUCCCAAGGGUUGGGCUGUUCGCCCAUUAAAGCGGUACGCGAGCUGGGUUCAGAACGUCGUGAGACAGUUCGGUCCCUAUCCGUCGUGGGCGUAGGAAAUUUGAGAGGAGCUGUCCUUAGUACGAGAGGACCGGGAUGGACGCACCGCUGGUGUACCAGUUGUUCUGCCAAGGGCAUAGCUGGGUAGCUAUGUGCGGAAGGGAUAAGUGCUGAAAGCAUCUAAGCAUGAAGCCCCCCUCAAGAUGAGAUUUCCCAUAGCGUAAGCUAGUAAGAUCCCUGAAAGAUGAUCAGGUUGAUAGGUUCGAGGUGGAAGCAUGGUGACAUGUGGAGCUGACGAAUACUAAUAGAUCGAGGACUUAACCAU
rnacentral:rRNA from 1 species